UACGAAGGGGGCUAGCGUUGCUCGGAAUUACUGGGCGUGAAGCGCACGUAGGCGGCUUUCUAAGUCGGGGGUGAAAUCCUGGAGCUCAACUCCAGAACUGCCUUCGAUACUGGAGAGCUCGAGUCCGGGAGAGGUGAGUGGAACUGCGAGUGUAGAGGUGAAAUUCGUAGAUAUUCGCAAGAACACCAGUGGCGAAGGCGGCUCACUGGCCCGGUACUGACGCUGAGGUGCGAAAGCGUGGGGAGCAAACAGG
rnacentral:rRNA from 1 species